AAACUGGUGCUGGAGCUUUCAUAUGCUUUACAGUCGUCGUAUAGUUAUGCACAGGCUUGCGCGGUAUUGCACACUAAUGAAUAGAGGCAAGUGCACAGGUAUGAGAUUGCACUUCUGCCUAAGGCCGAUCUGCAAUCGAGUACAUGGCUUUGUGUGAGCGAGAACUCCAUACAAUGGAAAGGAUUGCGUCUAAAAACAUGUACACACAGCAGAAAAAACAAAGUAGCACUUCAUAUCAAUCUUAACACAAUAAGUAAAAGCUGAGUCAACCAAAGCGCAAAUUUUGCAUUGUUUGAUUAAAGAAGUGCUAGAAGUACUGUACACUAGUUCUAAUGAUAGCUCCUGUCGAAGUUUUAUAUUUCCUGAAUCCCCAAUGUGCAAAAAAUUUAAAUCUACUAAUUGUUCAGUUAAAACACGAGGAAAACAUGGUGUCAACCACGUGCCAACGCACGCGUGUUAGCCGGCAUGUCAACGGCGUCUGACACGCCGGCUGAGAAAAAGAAGAGGAAAGAAAAAAAGAAGGAUACGCCAAGAAACCAAACUAAGUGUGUUGCCUAUAGCUUGAAAUUUAGCAUAGCGGAUAGAUUAUAAAGCUCCUUUUGAAAUGUUUAUGCCUAUUUGUUGCAAUGCCUUGAACUUAUAGAUAAGGCAUGAUUCUCUGUAUUUUCUUUCUCGUUCAGAACGGAAAUUUGUAAGAUGUAGAGUUGUCAUUUUCAGUUGUCAUUUCAUGCAGUUCUUGGCGUUGCUCACGAAAAAAAUUUUGAUGGCAGUCACUUUGUGCUGCUAUAAUUAGACGCCAUGUCACAGUGUCAACCUCAAAUUAAUAAAGCAAAUUAGCUUACAGUUUCUAUACAUACUGUCUUUGCAGGAGUUUGAUCUCUGUAUGAAAGCUGCAAAAUGUACUCAAACAAAGCAUAGUUUAAAAAUGUACAAGAAGCAACAUCAUUCUUGUCACUUUUUUAUAUCUUCUUUUUCUUCAAUUCCAUUAUGCUUCGCUCUAAAAUUUUGCCCUGAGAAAAACAAAUGCUUGAUCCUCAUCAGGAAAAGAGAAAAGAUGUCACUGAACCUCUUCUUCAUAACUACUGAGUUCCACAACAUGUCUACAAUUCAACUUUGUAACGCUAGUUCUGUGCAUUACACACCCUGAAAUGCAGACUGAACAUACAAGUGUCCAGGGUACUUAAUCUUCUUUCUUCUUCUAAAUUACCCCAUAAGAUAUUCUGCACAGCCAACGUGGGCUUACAAUAAACCGAUUCCCCUUGACACACUGCAUACAUGUAACAUUUGCUUUAUUUUAUUAUCCUGAUCAGCUUUCAAGUCAUAGAAGGAAAAGGUGGAGAAAGACACACGCAGUCGCUUCAUUGCAAGGACAGGUACAGAGACUUGCGGCCACCUGAAAAAGAAGCAUUUCUACUUCGUCUGUCACCGGUCUGGAAGUUAUGCUUCACAAGCUACAAGUAAACAAAAGCUGAAGCGGCCUUCAAGUGUCAAGUGUGGAAAAAGAUGUUUUGCGGCAAUGGCUGUGACUGAAGACAACACAGGUGUGUAUGUGGUUUUCCAAUUCAAGCACAGAGGCCACGACUUUGAACUGGGUCGUGUUUUUCUGUCCAAGUCGGAAAGAGCUGCUAUUGCUGACAAGCUGCGAGAAGGCGUGUCCAUGGAUGCAGUACUGGAUAAUGUGCGGUCCAACGUGGAUGAAACAUUCCACCGCAUUAACCUGUUAAGCAAGCAGGAUCUCCGCAAAAUAAUGAGGGAUGCCAGAGUCUCGAAGACCGAGCGGCUGCACGAUAAUGACUAUGUGAGCAUGCAACUCUGGGUUGAGAGGAUGCAUAGUGAAAAGGAAAACCCAUUGCUCUUCAUUAAACACCAAAGACAACCCGACAAAAAGUGACAUUUUCUUAGAGAAAAAAAAUGAGGACCUUUUGGAUGACAGAGAUCUUAUGCUAGUCAUCAUGACCACACCACAACAGGAGCUUUUCAAGAGGCUUGAAACUGAUCGUAUAUGUGUCGAUGGAACACAUGGAACAGCAGGUGAGCAGUACUAUAUAAAUGCAUUAAUAAUAAAAGCAAGAAAGAGGGAAUGCUGUCCGAGAAUAAUUGCAAUAGAUAUGAUGAGUAGUAUUCCUUCACACAUGAUAUUUCUCUUAAUUUUUCA